rnacentral:rRNA from 1 species
CCCUUAGAUGUUCUGGGCCGCACACGCGCUACACUGAAGGAGGCAGCGUGUACUCCUGGAUCGAAAGAUUUGGGUAACCCGCGAAUCUCCUUCGUGCUAGGGAUUGAGGUUUGCAAUUAUCCUUCAUGAACGAGGAAUUCCCAGUAAGUGCAAGUCAUAAGCUUGCGCUGACUACGUCCCUGCCCUUUGUACACACCGCCCGUCGCUGCUACCGAUUGAAUGAUUUAGUGAGGACUUCGGACUGGGACCGAUGCGGCUUUCGGGCUGCGUCGGUAUUCUGGAAAGAUGUCCAAACUGUAUCAUUUAGAGGAAGUAAAAGUCGUAACA